UACCAGCACCCCGAGCGGUCGGGACGAUUAUUGGGCCUAAAGCAUCCGUAGCCGGUUUUACAAGUCCCCCGUUAAAUCCAACUGCUUAACAGAUGGGCCGCGGAGGAUACUAUAAGACUAGGAGGCAGGAGAGGCAAGCGGUACUCAGUGGGUAGGGGUAAAAUCCGUUGAUCCAUUGAAGACCACCAGUGGCGAAGGCGGCUUGCCAGAAUGCGCUCGACGGUGAGGGAUGAAAGCCGGGGGAGCAAACCGG
rnacentral:rRNA from 1 species